rnacentral:rRNA from 1 species
UACGUAGGGUGCAAGCGUUGUCCGGAAUUAUUGGGCGUAAAGAGCUCGUAGGCGGUUUGUCGCGUCGGCCGUGAAAUCUCCACGCUUAACGUGGAGCGUGCGGUCGAUACGGGCAGACUUGAGUUCGGUAGGGGAGACUGGAAUUCCUGGUGUAGCGGUGAAAUGCGCAGAUAUCAGGAGGAACACCGGUGGCGAAGGCGGCAUCCUGGACCGACACUGACGCUGAGGAGCGAAAGCCAGGGGAGCAAACAGG